rnacentral:rRNA from 1 species
GACGAACGCUGGCGGCGUGCUUAACACAUGCAAGUCGAACGGAGAGGCCCUGCUUUUGUGGGGUGCUCGAGUGGCGAACGGGUGAGUAACACGUGAGUAACCUGCCCUUGACUUUGGGAUAACUUCAGGAAACUGGGGCUAAUACCGGAUAGGAGCUCCUGCUGCAUGGUGGGGGUUGGAAAGUUUCGGCGGUUGGGGAAGGACUCGCGGCUUAUCAGCUUGUUGGUGGGGUAGUGGCUUACCAAGGCUUUGACGGGUAGCCGGCCUGAGAGGGUGACCGGCCACAUUGGGACUGAGAUACGGCCCAGACGCCUACGGGAGGCAGCAGUGGGGAAUAUUGCACAAUGGGCGGAAGCCUGAUGCAGCAACGCCGCGUGCGGGAUGACGGCCUUCGGGUUGUAAACCGCUUUCGCCUGUGACGAAGCGUGAGUGACGGUAAUGGGUAAAGAAGCACCGGCUAACUACGUG